AUCACUUCUCGGCCUUUUGGCUAAGAUCAAGUGUAGUAUCUGUUCUUAUCAGUUUAAUAUGAUACGAGAAAAAAAAAAGAAAUAGAAGGUAGCCCUA
rnacentral:snRNA from 1 species